UGUGUGUGUGUGUAUGUGCGUGCACACACACACGUGGGCAAAACAUGGAAUGUGGUGGCUACAAGUAGUGGUUUUAACAAGUCCAGCUCUAGUUUGUCACAUACUACCCUUCCGAAUCAACUGUUCCAGUUAUGUUCAAUAAUAAUAAUUAAUAAUAAUAAUAAUAAUUAAUUAUAAUUUAUUUUACAAAUACUUACUCCAGAGGGGAGCUAAUGUCCCAGGCCCUUUUCCUGGUGGGAUCCUUAUCCACUCCACCUCCUUUCUGGCCAGGCCACACACCUUUCAGCCCUGUUUACUGAGCAGUGAGUUUAAUGAACAGAUCUCUAAUGCUCCACAUCAUUGCUGCAGUGCCCCGUGGUUCUGGCAGCCCUGAGGGAGAUGGGGAAGGAAGCUCAUCUCUGUGCUGGGCUCACUAUUACCACAGAAAACAUCUCAUAACCUCCCUGGUUUGAUUCUACUUGAGCUUUGCCAGUUUGAACCCUACCCUUGUAUGUUUUUUGAAUUUCUUGUUCUUUGGGUAUAGGUUCUGAGGCUUUGGGAAUAGCAACAAAUAUACAGUAAUUGUGUGUAAUCAUGAUUGGUAUGCGAAAAAUGCCUUUCACUUUAUUUUUACUGCAGUCUACUGUCUGUAUGGGUGCAUCUUAAAAUUCAGCCUUUUACUGAAGACUCCCUGAAUCUAUCUGCCCAAAGGGAAGUUGUUUAUUCAUUGGGUUGUAAGGUCCAAAGGGACAGGAAAUAUGACUCAUCCAUUGGUCCACCCUCUGCACAGGAUGCUGGGCAGAGUUCACGGGAGAUGCUUCAAAGCAUUUGUUGAGUGACUCAAUGAAUGAGCUCAUAUGCAAGAAUCAUAGUUUUCAUUCUCUCGGGGCUCCAAGCAAACCUGCCAUUGUGGGUCCUGAACCUGCUCAUUGGUCAGAAUGCUUCUGGAUUCUCCAUGAGAGUCACCUGGUCUGUCUUGACUUAUGAGUCCUGGAAGGGCAAGAUCCCUGUCUGUUUAAUUGCCUUCUCUCAAGUUUUGAAGCCAUGCUAAUUCUCUGAACAUGUUACUGACCUUCUUUGUGACCCUUCUAUUGCUUCUCUGCUCUCUAGUCUUCCAGUCGGUGUUUGCCCUAAGGGGCCACAGGAAGGAACCCCAACUGGAGGAUGCAGGAAAGAGCCAGCAAAUUCUAUGUCCUCCCACCCCACCCAAGUUUAUAAUCUGAUUCAGAGACAGAAUAUUCGGAAGAAAUUAAAUAGCAAAACGAAGGCAGAGGGACAGUGAGAUGAGUCAGUAGGUAACAGGCACCUGCCACCAGGCACAACAACUUGAGUUCAGUUCCUGGGACUCAGAUGUUGAAAGGAGAGCUGAUCCAGACAAGAUGUCCCCCAACCUCUGCGUGUGCACCCUGGCACACGUACACAGAUAACUAAACAUAAUUUAAAAGGUUCUGUUUUGAAAUCUUCAUAGAUAUAUUUACGAGUUCCUAGUGAAAGAUGUCAAGGUGACAUUCUUGGGAAUUUAGAGAUAAGAAAGGACCUGUGGGUCCCAGAUGCUGGAGACCCCUGUCAGGCAGAGCAGAAGUUAAGAAAAGGUCCCAGCACAGAGCAGCGGUGGCAUUUCUGGGCAGAGGAAAAGCACAUGAGAUAUGCAGACUGGGAGUGAGCACUAAGUAUGCUGAUUGAGCAAAAGGGUGAUGACUGUAGCCUAGCAGGAAGCAGCUUUUCCGAAUUGAGAGGGGAUUGUGAAAGCAUGCUGAUGACAAUGAUAAAUCAGACAGAAACCUGCAGGUUGCACAGCUCUCUCCUCAGCAAGCUCAGAGCAUGCUGGGAGCCCAGGGUUGCAGGGCAAGGACAGCAAUGUGGAAGUUUCUCAGUUCCUGAGAAAAGGGGCUGUGGAGUGUCCUCUGGCCUUGUUAGAAUUCACCUCUAGGAUACAUGGGCUUGUAGCUUGUGCACUGGGGAAUCUUUGCUGAGCUGGCUUGCAGAUUCUGCCUCAGUAGGGACUGAUGGCUGUCAGUGAGCGGAUAGCAAGUGACAAAAUCAGUUUGACAGAAGAGUGACAUUUAGGAUUGUCCCAUCUUCUAUUUGCUACAUUUAGAAAAUAAAAUAAAAUUGAUAACUGGGGUUUGGUGACAUGCAACUGCAAUCCUAGUACUUAACAGGCAGAGACAGGGGAAUCAGGAGUUCAAGGCCAGCAGUGGCUGCAUAAGAAGUUCAAGGUCAGCCUGAACUUCAGGAGACUAUUUCAGAAACAAAAC
rnacentral:lncRNA from 1 species